rnacentral:rRNA from 1 species
GAUGAACGCUGGCGGCGUGCCUAAUACAUGCAAGUCGAGCGAAGCGGGGACGGGUGAGUAACACGUGGAUAACCUCCUAUAAGACUGGGUUAACUUCGGGAAACCGGAGCUAAACCGGAAACUUAUAGAUGGAUCUGCGCUGCAUUAGCUAGUUGGUAAGGUAACGGCUUACCAAGGCAACGAUGCAUAGCCGACCUGAGAGGGUGAGCGGCCACACGGGAACUGAGACACGGUCCAGACUCCUACGGGAGGCAGCAGUAGGGAAUCUUCCGCGAUGGGCGAAAGCCGGACGUAGCAACGCCGCGUGAGUGAUGAAGGUCUUCGGAUCGUAAAACUCUGUUAGUAGGGAGGCGGUACCUAAUCAGAAAGCCACGGCUAACUACGUGCCAGCCGCCGCGGUAAUUC